UUAAGCUACUAGUAUUUCUUAAUACUAAAGAAGUUAAUUAUAUAGUUUACUUACUAAGCUAGGUUA
rnacentral:tRNA from 1 species